GGGAGGGGGAAUUGGGAGGGGAUGCAGAAUCCCCACAAGUAAAACCAAUGCUGUAAUCAACAUUCGGUUUAGAAUUUUUUCCAACUUGCAGGCUGCAGCAAACCUAGGUUGUCCAAAAUCCACUACUUUUUAGGCAGGAUUGACUUUAGAUCCAUUGUGCACAUAAGUUUCAUUGGGUCCAGGUACUGUCCUACCCAACAUCAUUCCACAGAAUCAGGUUUCAUUGGGUCCAGGUACUGUCCUACCCAACAUCAUUCCACAGAAUC
rnacentral:misc_RNA from 1 species